rnacentral:lncRNA from 13 species
CCUCCACCCUUGGGCCGGCGACGCGCUCAGCCACAGGGAGGAGCCUUUGUUCCCUGUUCCCGGCAGUCACACCCUCUUAGCUGCUGCUGCUGGUUUAAGGAGGGUUCUGUGCGGAUCUAGACGCCCCCGCCUGAACAAGGUACAACUUCUCCUGAGCCUGAAUGUCCUGGAUUCCAAAGCUGGCGGCUCAUGUGGCCCCAUAAGUGGACACAGAUGGGUUUGGCUGCAAUCCACAGGACCUGAAGUGGGUAUCUGGUCAUUACACAAUAAGCAAACACAGCCUUGGAAGACAGAUUCGGCCAGGAAAUUGCAGACCCACGUGACACAGCAACCUGAGCUGACCUUCCCAGAAAGAGGAUCAUAGAUCGUGGUGGAACUUGCCUGAGUUCAUGGGUCCUGAUUU